rnacentral:rRNA from 1 species
UACAGAGGGGGCAAGCGUUAUUCGGAAUUAUUGGGCGUAAAGGGCGCGUAGGCGGCUUGGCAAGUGGAUGGUGAAAUCCCUCGGCUUAACCGAGGAACUGCCGUCCAAACUGCUUCGCUUGAGACCGGGAGAGGUGAGUGGAAUUCCCAGUGUAGCGGUGAAAUGCGUAGAUAUUGGGAGGAACACCAGUGGCGAAGGCGGCUCACUGGACCGGUACUGACGCUGAUGCGCGAAAUCGUGGGUAGCAAACGGG